AGUGGGCGCACUGUAUGCACGCUUUAAAGAGCGAAUAUCGAAAGAUCGCCGACUUUCAUUGAUCAUGGAUGGAUAAGGUGGCAGCCGCCAAUGCUGAAAAGAUUGCUACGGUCGAACAACUCCAAGCGACAAUUGAAUGAGAGAAGCUUCAGAAAGAAGUCUCCCGUAUGACAGUCGACCUUCAAUCCUUUAGAGUCGAGCUUGAGUCGGCUCAUCAGAAUAUCAUAUUUCUCGAGUCUCAGAUCAGGAGCAAGAAGCACUCCAUCAGUCAACUCUAAAGAGAGAGAGAAAUAGCUACAUUGAAGAGCCGAAAGCAGAGCACGGAAGGCAUUGGGCCACC
rnacentral:lncRNA from 1 species